UGCCACUCCACUCAGCCACAAUACGUAAGUAUACUAUUAUGAAUAGCCUAAAUUAUUAGAUUGUGGUUUAACUUGUUAAUGCUGGUUGAAAUAACCUAAAUUGACCGUGUUUCAGUCUAGUGCAGGCCCUCAGUAAAGUUAACUCAUAGCUAGCGUUAGCUAACAUUAGCUGGAGACUUUUCAGAAGGAAGCAAACCCAGGCGAAGCAGUUUAAUGCUAAAGUUAAGGAAAGUAUAGUGGGUGUAAUGUUAGCGUUAACGGUUUACUCUUUUAUAUUUAUUUCAUUUUGAACUAAGCGUAGUAGUUAACUUCAAAGUCUGUGUUGUAACGUCAAUGUUACCGUCACGCAGGCAUGCAGCAGCACUGUGGCUACAGGACGGUCGGGCGCCACGGAGUCAGGUCUUUGCCUAGCUACAGGGAGGAAACAUCCUGAACAGAGCGCCAUCGCUGCACAGUGAUCAACAACAUACAUGGCUGAAGACGAUUUUCAGGUGAAUUGCUGACAGCAACCGUUUGGAUGCUGAGCAUCGAGGGUCCGGUGGAUGGGCCUCCACAUCCCAACUUCGUGGCUGGGAUGGCAACUUUGUUUUCGAGCUACUACAUCUUUAAUAUGGUGUACCAGGAGCAAGCAUCUUGCACACUGGAAUUCAUUCAAAGAUGCUUCAUCGGACUGAACCCUUCAAGUGGAACCAAGUCAACAACGGCGUUGAUCCAAAAAAGUGGGAACAUACAGGAGAAAAGAGGAACUGCAUUAACCCUUGCGUCUCCUCCCUACUCGACAGGAGGUAGGGGGAGAGGGAGACGUCAAAAAAUGACAAAAAGUAACACAGAUGGUUCCUCGAAAUGCUCUCCAAGAUUCAGUUCACUAGUUAAACAUGGAGCACACCAAACAGACUUGAGUCACCGACCUCGCCGGACUGUCCGACGGUCGAUUAUCGGGUUGGUUGUAUCAUGGUCAUAAUGAGCU